CCAGUUAUGAAGGGGAGGAACAAUGAUCACGAGGGUUGUGCGCCCAUGAUGAGGGCUAUCGCAUUGUACUCUGGGUGUGCUGAUGCCUGGGAUGUCCCUUAACGUGGUAUACUUGAAUGCAAAAUUUGUGGUAGGAGGGUGAGCAGUUUUGGAGCGGUU